rnacentral:tRNA from 1 species
GCCUCUGUAGCUUAGCUGGUAAACUUUUGAAAAUGAUUAAUCAAAAGUUCAGCUAAGAGCGUCUGGCUGUUAACCAGAAGGUCGCAGGUUCAAAUCCUGCCGGAGGCG